CCUACGGGCGGCAGCAGUAGGGAAUCUUCCACAAUGGGCGAAAGCCUGAUGGAGCAACGCCGCGUGGGUGACGAAGGUCUUCGGAUCGUAAAACCCUGUUGUUCGAGAAGAAAGUGCGUGAGAGUAACUGUUCACGUUUCGACGGUAUCUAACCAGAAAGCCACGGGUAACUACGUGCCAGCAGCCGGGGUAAUACGUAGGUGGCAAGCGUUAUACGGAUUUAUUGGGCGUAAAGGGAACGCGGGCGUUCUGUUAACUCUGAUGUGAAAGCCUUCGGCUUAACCGGGGUAGUGCAUUGGAAACUGGGAGACGUGAGUGCACAAGAGGAGAGUGGAACUCCAUGUGUAGCGGUGAAAUGCGUAGAUAUAUGGAAGAACACCAGUGGCGAAAGCGGCUCUCUGGUCUGUAACUGACGCUGAGGUUCGAAAGCGUGGGUAGCAAACAGGAUUAGAUACCCCGGUAGUC
rnacentral:rRNA from 1 species